GCCUAGUUAGCUUGGUUGGUAGCGCGUCUGCCUUGUAAGCGCUAGGUCGCGGGUUCGAUUCCCGCCCGGGGCG
rfam:Asian citrus Psyllid, Diaphorina citri - Florida Strain, whole genome shotgun sequence.